AGUCACUUUGAGGAGAAAGGGUUCCGCUUCGUAGGUCAAGACGUCGACGGGGAGAGGAUGGAGGUCAUCGAGCUGGAAGAUCAUCCAUACUUCGUGGGCGUGCAGUAUCACCCCGAGUUCACCUCUCGCCCCAUCAAGCCUUCGCCCCCGUACCUCGGGCUGCUGCUGGCUGCGGCCGGGAAGCUGCCGGGAUACUUACAGAAGGGCUGCCGGCUGUCUCCACGGGACACGUACAGCGACCGGAGCGGCAGCAGCAGCCCAGACUCUGAGAUCUGAGUUAAAACUACCGUCGAUCUCAAGUGAAUGAAUUCAAAUAAAGAUGUUUUCUCAUGUUCAUUGCCGAUGAGUCAUUAUCAAAUACAGACACAACUAAAGCUGCAGGAGCUUAAAUGCAAUAAGUGGACGCUGGUGCCCAACUGCUAAAUUUGAAGUUUAUUUCACGAGUCCUGUGAAUAUUACGGGCUGUUCUCCUAGUUGCAUGUUCUGACUAGCCUGGAGAUUUGCUAUCCAAGUGACAUGCAGCAGCUCUACAUUCAUUGUUCACUUUGUGGCCUUACUGUAAAUAAGCCCUUCUACAUUUACAGUGUCUUUAAAUUUCCACAAGAAUAUAAAAUAAAGGGAUUCUCAAAAAA